rnacentral:lncRNA from 1 species
UGUAUAGGGGCAUGGGAACAGCAGCAAACUCAGUAGGUUUCCACUGUUCAAAACAGGUAAUAUUUGAUAUCUCUGUUGUAGACAAAACAUAUAUCGCUUUCUGAUAUUUGCCUUCAGUUGUGUUUGCUUUAUGGCUCUGUCUCUAACACUGCAAUGGGGCAUAUACCAAAGCAAUUAUAAGAAAAAGAUGAAUGAAGUUAGGGGAAAACAGACAACUGACUUUAACUCUUGUUUUCUGUUCCUCUUAUUUUUGAAUAACUGUGUCUUUAGUGAUUUAUCAGCAAAGAAAUGGAAGUAACAAUAAUAUUGUUUCUUGUUUCCUUUCAUUUCUUUAUUAGAGUUGUUUCUCCAUGUCUAGUUUAUACAAUAUAUAUUUCCUUUAUUAUUGGUUCAAUAUAAAUGGUUCUUUAUAAAUGUUUCAUUACUAUGAAGCACAUACGGGGAUAAAGAUAUGAGAACUUGAAUACUAAUUUGUUGAAGUUACGUAUUUUUGUUAAAAAGAAAAAGUCUAGGAGAUAGAUACAAAUUAUGCUAUAAUGAUGCUAAAUGUAAUUUGCUAAAUCUAUGGGGAAAAAAAAGGUAUAAAAUGUCAAGUUAAUGGCAAUAGUAAACAAAUACAAUAAUUGAAAUAUAAUACAAAAAAGCAACAUAAAAAAUAUUGAAGUGAAUAAAGAAUGUUGGAAAAUGAGGAAUAAUAUUAAGAAAGUUGUAAUUUGUAUUUUGGGUUUGUAGACCAUUUAAUUGUAUACAGUUUUGUGUGUGAUUGGGACAUAUGAAUUUGAGACUUAGGAAGGUUAAAGUACAAAAGCAUUAUGAGAUUUGUACUUACUCUGCCAUGAGAUAUUAUCACAUCACAACGUCUUUGUCUUAGAAUCGCUUUGAUCAAGACUUCCAAAAUCUUUAGCCUCAUAUGAUUCCUUGCCCUCAAAUGCUUUACUGUGUGUGUGUGUGUGUAUUUUAAGAAAACUAGAAAAGAAAAAAAAAAAGUUAUCUUUUAGGUGUUUUCUUAAUCUAUUUUUACCAAUUUCUUAAAUUUUGUUUUGUUAUCUAUAUCUACAUGAUUUUAAAAAAAAAGAAAAUAGUUUAUUUCUUAUUGUUUUAUAUGGUUAGUUGAGAUAAUUUGGAAUUCAAUGUUACAAACCAAAAGGGAUUGUGUUUAAUGUUGUCAAAUAUGUUUGGUGUAAAAAGAUUUAGAAAAAUGGAUCUCAAAUAUAUAUAUAUAUAUGUUUGGCAAAGUAGAAAUUGAAAAUGAGUUUGGGGAAUUAAUAAAUGAUUUAAGUGAAAGUAAUAAAAAUGGGGAAAGAGAGAAAAGGGGUGGGAAAGGAUAACAAAAACAGUUGCAUUUGGGAAAUGGGGUUAGUUUGGAUUGGCUGAUUGCAUGGAUAACUCAUUUGUGGGUCCCUCACCUUAUGGAUUUCCCUUUCUUUCUCUCUUUCUCUUCUUCAACUCUUUGUUUUUAUCUACAAAUAACCGCACUCUGCACUGCACUGCACUGCACUGCACUUCCCUGCACUGCCCCCUGCCUUUUGCUUUUCUACUUCCUCUUCUUUCCAUAUUUACCCCUUCUCACUUCUCAUAUUCACCCAUUCCUCCCUCCCUCCCUCCCCCAUCUAAUCUCUUGGUUAACAACCAUCUUCCAAUUUUAGCUUUUUCUAUUUCAUUAUUUAAUAUGUUUGACGCUAAACUUCCUUUUAGAGAAUAUAUAUCACUUGUAACUAGUUCAAUUAUAAGCAUGUUGGUGGUAGUGCAUCAAUUUUAUUUCCUCUUCCUUGCUUCUUUUUGGACUGAAUUGAGUGGAGUAUGUAUGAUGAAGAGAUGGGGAGAGACAUAGAUAGGUGUAUGACCAAAUUUGUUUUUGUAAAUUUAAUAUGAAGCCAAAAGGAAGGAAGGUGAUAUGUAUUUAUUUGUUAUUUAAAAAAAAAAAAAAAAGGAAGAAGAGUAAGGGCAUAAUUGUAAAUAAGGUGAAAAGGGAGAGAGAAAAAAAGAAAGAAAGAAAAGAGAAGAGAGUUAGAGUAGGAGUAGAGAUCACGCAGCUUUGUAUCAGAAGAAAAAAUUUAAAAAGGAAAAAAAAAAAAAAGAAGAAAUACGGAGAUUAUGAAGUGGGCCCUCACCUACUCCUUCCUCUCUAACAAACUCUUUCAACUUACAACCUUUCUCUUUCUUCUUCCUUCUUCCUUCUUCCUUCUUUAUAUAAACUUCCUUCCUUCCUCCUCCUCCUCCUCCUUAAUCUUCCUUUUCAAACUCUCUCUCUCUAAACUAAUUCCAUUCCAUGGAACAACUACUCAUCUGAAUUCUCACCACCCCCAUACCUUCCUUCUGAUUGAGAUUAAAAUAAAAAAAAACGAAAGGUUGGGUCUUUUCUUUCUUUGUAAUUAGUUUCCUGGCUUUUGUGUUUUUCUUUUCUGACAUGAUUGUUUGUUUUGUUUUGUUUUGUUUUGUUUUGUAAAAAAAACCAUUGCUUGGAAUUAGCACACUUGAUUUCGUAC